UACGGAGGGUGCAAGCGUUAUCCGGAUUCACUGGGUUUAAAGGGUGCGUAGGUGGGAAUGUAAGUCAGUGGUGAAAUCUCCGUGCUUAACAUGGAACUGCCAUUGAUACUAUGUUUCUUGAAUUUUCUGGAGGUCAGCGGAAUAUGUCAUGUAGCGGUGAAAUGCUUAGAUAUGACAUAGAACACCAAUUGCGAAGGCAGCUGACUACAGGGACAUUGACACUGAGGCACGAAAGCGUGGGGAUCAAACAGG
rnacentral:rRNA from 1 species